AUGAACUCCCUGAUUGAUAAAUACUUUGAAGCACCGGGUAUUACUACUCUAACUCAGAACUAUUGUAGAUCUUGUGCAAUUUGUGCUAAAUGUAACCCCGGGAAGAUUGUUAAAACUGUACCCAAUCACUUGGCCAAACCACAAUAUCCCUUCCAGAGUAUACAGAUUGACCAUAUCCAGAUGCCAAAGAGUGGACGCUAUGAAUACGCAUUAUUAGUCAUUGUAGACAUUUUCUCAGGAUGGCCAGAAGCCUUCACAAUCUUACUGCAAGAACUACAGCCAAACAUCUUCUGACGGAAAUUGUUUGCCGGUAUGGUGUCCCAGAAGUGAUUAAAAGUGACCAAGGAACCUCCUUUACCGCCUCAUUGACACAGGAAGUCUGGGCAGCACUGGGGGUGACCCUUGCCUUCCACACACCAUACCACCCACAGAGUAGUGGUAAGGUAGAACGCAUGAAUGGCACAUUGAAGGCCAGAAUGCUUAAGAUGUCCCAAGAAACUAACAUGCCCUGGCCUGAGAGUCUUCCAUUAGCAUUGUGUGGGGAUAUUUAUGGGAUAAUAAUAGUAAAC